AGUGAACGCUGGCGGUAGGCCUAACACAUGCAAGUCGAACGGCAGCACAGUAAGAGCUUGCUCUUACGGGUGGCGAGUGGCGGACGGGUGAGGAAUACAUCGGAAUCUACUUUUUCGUGGGGGAUAACGUAGGGAAACUUACGCUAAUACCGCAUACGACCUACGGGUGAGAGCAGGGGAUCUUCGGACCUUGCGCGAUUGAAUGAGCCGAUGUCGGAUUAGCUAGUUGGCGGGGUAAAGGCCCACCAAGGCGACGAUCCGUAGCUGGUCUGAGAGGAUGAUCAGCCACACUGGAACUGAGACACGGUCCAGACUCCUACGGGAGGCAGCAGUGGGGAAUAUUGGACAAUGGGCGCAAGCCUGAUCCAGCCAUACCGCGUGGGUGAAGAAGGCCUUCGGGUUGUAAAGCCCUUUUGUUGGGAAGGAAAAGCAGCAGGUUAAUACCCCGCUGUUCUGACGGUACCCAAAGAAUAAGCACCGGCUAACUUCGUG
rnacentral:rRNA from 1 species